CGGGACAGAAAUCAGGCCUCUCCCCAGUGUGGAUGUUCCGGUGCUGGAUCAGGCUGGAGCUGCGGCUGAAGCUCUUCCCACACUCAGAACACUCGUAGGGCCUGUCCCCAGUGUGGAUCAUCUGGUGGCUGAUCAGGUGCACGAUCAGGGCAGAAUUGUGGCUGAAGCUCUUCCCACACUCCCCACACUCGUACGGCCUCUCUCCAGUGUGGGUCCUCUGGUGCUCGAUGAGGCCGGAACUCCUGCUGAAGCUCUUCCCACACUCCGCACACUCGUAGGGCUUCUCCCCGGUGUGGAUCACCUGGUGCCUGAUCAGGUGAGAGCGCCGUCUGAAGCUCAUCCCACACUCCCCACACUCGUAGGGCCGUUCCCCAGUGUGGAUCACCUGGUGCAGGAUCAGGCUGGAGCUCCAGCUGAAGCUCUUCCCGCACUGCCCACACGUGUGGGGCUUCUCCCCAUCAUGGAGCUGCUCAUGGAGCACCAGCUCCGAGCUCUGCCUCCAUCUCCGGCCGCCUUCCCGGCCCAGGCUGGCUCUUUCCCCCUCACAUCCCCGCCGUCUGCGUUUGCAGCCCCUCCUCGUGCGGCAUCUCCGGGCCUUUUCCUCCCCGUUGGCUUCCUGCGCCGUGGAGCCGCUCAAAACGGCCUCUUCCACCAGGUUCUGCCGCGGGCAUUUGUCCUCCCUGCUCUCCAUGCUCAGCUCCUGCUCUGGGCGAGGAAGGACAAGGACACGAUGGCAUUUGCCUCCGUGCCACAGGCAAGGCCAAGCAGAUCCCCCCAGGGCGUCCGCGGCAGGACGGCCCCGGCACCCCCCGAUGUCCCCCCGAGGGGCCUUUUCCGCUCAGCCUUGCACUUCUUCAUUCUCCAAACAUCGCCCCAAAAACCCAACCCAGGGACCCCCCGGGAUAUCUGGGCCCGCUCACCUGCGCGAUGGGGGGGGCGAUGAUCCCACAGGUGGGGGCUGCGAAUUCAGGCAGGGCUGGAGCGCGGUUCCGUCAGCUCAGCCUCGAUCCGCCUUUGUCCCUCCUCUUCCUCUUCCUACGGCUCCUCCUCUUCCAUCCCCUCUCCUCCUCCUCCCACCCAACCACACCUCCUUCUCCUCUUCCGUCCCUCCGCUUUCCCUCCCUCCUCCUCCUCCUCCUCUCUUUCCCCACCUCCUUCUCUUCCCUCCCUCCUCCUCUUCACUCCCUCCUCAUGGAAAGGGAUGGAACCCCGAA